UUAAUUAUUGAUGAAAUCCAAAAAGGAGAGACGACGUUGGCAAUAAAAGGAAAGAUGACGUCAACGAUAGAAGGGAGAAACCGCGGCAAGCGGCUAUCCAAAAGUGAUAAAGCUAGUAAGCUACUGCAGGAGAUGGAGUUCUAUCGCAAAACUUGCUACAGCUAGUUGCAUAGCGUUGUGGAAGCUUCAGCGGCAUGGAGCAUGGAGGACUAAUUGGGAGGGGCUGCC
rnacentral:lncRNA from 1 species